rnacentral:rRNA from 1 species
GACGAACGCUGGCGGCGUGCUUAACACAUGCAAGUCGAACGGAAAGGCCCUGCUUUUGUGGGGUGCUCGAGUGGCGAACGGGUGAGUAACACGUGAGUAACCUGCCCUUGACUUUGGGAUAACUUCAGGAAACUGGGGCUAAUACCGGAUAGGAGCUCCUGCUGCAUGGUGGGGGUUGGAAAGUUUCGGCGGUUGGGGAUGGACUCGCGGCUUAUCAGCUUGUUGGUGGGGUAGUGGCUUACCAAGGCUUUGACGGGUAGCCGGCCUGAGAGGGUGACCGGCCACAUUGGGACUGAGAUACGGCCCAGACUCCUACGGGAGGCAGCAGUGGGGAAUAUUGCACAAUGGGCGGAAGCCUGAUGCAGCAACGCCGCGUGCGGGAUGACGGCCUUCGGGUUGUAAACCGCUUUCGCCUGUGACGAAGCGUGAGUGGCGGUAAUGGGUAAAGAAGCACCGGCUAACUACGUG